rnacentral:lncRNA from 1 species
GCAGACCCUUACACUUUGUUUGUGUUCGAGAUGGCACUCAUGGGAUUUGCAGAGCACAGAAGGUUCCAAGACUGGGCCAAACCAGGUUCGAUGGGGAAACAAUAUUUCUUGGGGUUCGAGAAGUACCUUGGAGGGUCUGGUGAGCCGGCAUACCCUGGAGGACCACUGUUUAACCCACUUGGUUUUGGGAAAGAUGAGAAGUCAUUGAAGGAUUUGAAGCUGAAAGAAGUGAAGAAUGGGAGAUUGGCAAUGUUGGCAAUCUUGGGUUACUUCAUACAAGGGCUCGUGACAGGUGUAGGACCAUACCAGAACCUGUUGGAUCACUUGGCUGACCCUUUCAAUAACAAUGUCUUAACUAACCUCAAGUUCCAUUAGAUGAAAGUGCCUAUAUUUGUUCCAUGGAACCUAUAAGUUAUAAUUUUAUUUUAAACAAAUGGUAUCAUCAACAAGGGUUCUAAAUUACAUACAACCUUCCUGCAAUUUGCAAGCAAAGAGAAAUGAAUGAAGAAUUUAACUAAUGACAAAAUCACCAUGUCACUGCAUAUAAACCAAAUACAAUGUCAGAAUCACCAUGACAACAUAGAUACUAAGCUCAAUGCCUCAUCCAUGGAAUAUCAUUGAUGCAUUUCAGUAAACUUGUUAUCAAUUGGUAUCAUGAGAAUGAAAAUUAAAAACAAAAUUCAGUUUCUUUUUUUAAACCACACGUUGAAAGAAAGUGAACUUUUAAAUAGAAAAGCAAUUUCUAAUUUAGAGUUCUAGGGUGAUUCAAUCUUUCUUAUUGAUACUGCUAGUGCUAAAGCAUUGCAGAGAUGUUAUAACUUAAAAAUCCCGUGCCAAACUUCCCGAAUACCCAUUUCCUCUGUUGGAACUUGAGAAUUGAGUCUUUGGUUUUGGACUCCGAAGGUCUCAGAUUCCAAUUUUUGAAAAUGGAAAAGGGUGACCUCGCAUGACUCCAUUGAUUCUUCAUAUAAUGAAAAACUUAAUUCUAGUAUGCAUGAGGCUAAAGUUUCUGGAGUCAAUAAAAUUUUCAUAGUAUCGCAGAGCUUAUGCUGUUCGAGAAUUGAUUGAAGUCAUAAAAUUUGUCUUCUUUUUCUAGAAAAUUUUAGUUUAAUGUGUAUUAUUUUCAUUAUGUUACAACGAUUCGGUGUUAGGAAUGCAGGUUCAAUGAAGAAAAUUUCAAACUGAAAAUCAUGCAUUGCUCUUCUAGAAGGCAAACAAGUAUGAGUAAAGAAAAUGAACCUAUUGAAGAGCCUACAGGAAGAAUUACUCGAGCAGGGGCUAAAGCACAGAGGGGAGCAGAAGGAAUGUGCUCUUCAAAACCAUCCUUCAAACAGGACCAAAAAUGUGUUAUUCGUAUGAACUCCAAACGUGCAUCAUCGGAUGAGAACAGGACUUGUGUGGCUGCCACUGUUGGCCUUCAGCCUAAAAGAAGGGCAGUGCUUAAAGAUGUAACAAAUGUCAGUGCUAAUGGUAUGCAGAUCGACUGCUUAAAUGUAACCGAAAUUCAGGUGAGGACAUCUUCUGAUUUCGUCCUGAAGUUCAGUCUGCAAAUUUCGUAUGCACGAAAUAGUAAAUACAAAUAACAUUUAUCAUGAGCAGGAAAAACAAACUAAGUUAAAAAGUAUAACCUGUCUACGAAAAUGAGACGCUAGAGUUGCAGCAAAUGGGUACUGAAAUUUACCGACUAAUUGCGGAAGCAGAGAGCGACGGCGAAGGGACGCAGAAGAGACGAUGACGAAGAGAUGCAGAAGAGACGACGGUGAACAACGAUGAGUAGGUGAUCGAUCGACUGAGAUGCCUAGGGAUUUGGGGGAAAUUAAGGGAUUAGGGGAAAUCUAUUUUGGUCUUUUGGGGGAGAAGGCUGAGACUAUCGGGCAUGAAAGAAGGACAUAAAUUCUGAAAUGAAA